rnacentral:lncRNA from 1 species
GAUAUUCCUUGACCUUAAAGCUGUGCCGAAUAAUAUUUCAUUUUCUGGAUAUACCUCACUUUAUCUACUUGCUACAGAAGGGCAUCCUGCUUACUUUAAAGUUUUGGCAAUUAGGAAUAAAGCUGCUAUAAGCAUCCAGGUAAAGGUAUUUAUGUGAACAUAAGUUUUUAAUUCACUUGAGUAAAUAUCAAGAACCAUUAUUGUUCUAUCAUAUCGUAAGAGUAUUUUUAGUUUUGUAAGAAACGCCAAAGUGUCUUUCAAAGUGGCUGUAUCAUUUUGUAGUCCCUCCAGCAGUGAAUGAAAGUUCCUCUUGCUCCACACCCUCACCAGCAUUUGAUGUUGUCAGUGUUUUGAAUUUUGAUUAUUCUAAUUGCUGUAUAGUAGAAUCUCGAUGUUGUUUUAAUUUAAAAUUCCCUAAAGACAUAAGGUGUUGAACAUCUUUUCAGAUGCUUACUUUUAACUGUAUGUCUUUUCUGGCAAGCUGUCUGCUUGUCUUUUGCCCCCUUUUAAUGGGAUUGUUUGUUAUCUUGUUGUUGAGUUUUAAGAGUUCUUUGUAUAUUUUGUAUAACAGCUUUUUAUCCUAUGUGUCUUUUGCAAAUAUUUUCUUCAAGUCUGUGGGUUUCCUUCUCAUUUUGUUGAAAAAAAACAUAUAUUUUUAAAUAAAGAAGAUAGAUAGAAACACUUUGAUGAUUAAUGAAAUUCUUGAUAAUUAUAUCUGAGUUAUUAAAUACUUAUUAAUUUUAAUGACAUUUUACAUUGUUUACAUGUGUUAACUUUCUUAAACUUCAAAAAUAAAAUAAUUGGAAAAGGGAGCAAUAU